AUGUGCUCAUCAUUUACUAUCUCACUCUUUCUCUCAGCUCUCUGGAGUCAGGCUUCUCUGGGGAUCAUCACAGUAGAUCAGUCUCCUCCAGUCAUCUCCGUCCAGCCUCACGAUACUGUGAAGAUUCUUUGUCGAGCCUCACAGGAUAUUGGCAAUGACAUGGAGCUGUAUCAGCUUAAACCUGGACAGGCUCCUAAACAAAUAAUUCAUGAUAGCUAUGUCAGAGCGUCCGGUAUACCUGACAGAUUUAGUGGCACAUUGACAGGAGCCCUGACAACCUUCACCAUCUCUGGCGUUCAGCUGGAGGAUGAAGCUGAGUAUCACUGCCAGCAAUCAGAGACAGUGCCGUUCACACAGUGA